rnacentral:rRNA from 1 species
AACGAACGCUGGCGGCAUGCCUAACACAUGCAAGUCGAACGAACCCUUCGGGGUUAGUGGCGCACGGGUGCGUAACGCGUGGGAAUCUGCCCUUUGCUUCGGAAUAACAGUUAGAAAUGACUGCUAAUACCGGAUGAUGUCUUCGGACCAAAGAUUUAUCGGCAAGGGAUGAGCCCGCGUAGGAUUAGGUAGUUGGUGGGGUAAAGGCCUACCAAGCCGACGAUCCUUAGCUGGUCUGAGAGGAUGAUCAGCCACACUGGGACUGAGACACGGCCCAGACUCCUACGGGAGGCAGCAGUGGGGAAUAUUGGACAAUGGGCGCAAGCCUGAUCCAGCAAUGCCGCGUGAGGGAUGAAGGCCUUCGGGUCGUAAAGCUCUUUUGCCAGGGAUGAUAAUGACAGUACCUGGAGAAUAAGCUCCGGCUAACUCCGUGCCAGCAGCCGCCGUAACAC